UGGAUGUGUGGAAGGAAAGGAGGAGGAGAAGGCGGCGAAGGAGAAGGGGGCGCCCGUCCGCUGCCCCAGCGAGCAAGGGGGUUGGAAAAAAAAAACGCAAAGAGAAAGAAGCUCGAGCUAUCAUGAGCCAGCCAAGCAAGCGCUAAGCAGGGUCCGCGGCCGGAGGAUCGGAAGCACUUUUAUCUUCCAAGCGCGGAUGGAACGUUGAAGAGGCCACAUCAAAAGCUCCUGGCGGGGGGCAAAACACCCGAUCGAACGUUGGGACAAACAUUCGAUCGAACGUCGGCGCGGCCGAACUCGCAGCCCGAGGGGCGCAGGCAGACUGAACCUUCAGGGGGGGAGCGCCUUUCCCCGUCCUCUCUUAAUUUAUUUUCCCACUCUCGCUUUUUUUUUCCUUCUCCUUUCUUUUUCUUUUUCCUUUCUUUUUUCCUUCCUUCCUUUCUUUUUUUAAAAAGAAGCCUCCCUCCCUAGUUUUUACUACACUGUAGCCAUUUCCGUUUGCUUGGACAUUGUUAAAGCUGCCUCCACCGUCUCCGUCGCCGCCGGGAGAACAAUAGGAAGGCAGGAGGGGCGACCGGGGCGCCCACCCCGGCUGCGCCCCGGGAAUCUUCAGCCAUACUUGUGGAUGUAACCCUCCCCCACCACAAAGCCGAGCAGACAGACACCAUUUCAAUCGGUGGGAAUAUGAACCAGCAACAAAGAAUGGCUGCAGCAGGGACCGACAAGGAAUUAAGCGAUCUCCUAGAUUUCAGUAUGAUGUUUCCCUUGCCAGUGACUAAUGGAAAAAACAGACCCACGACUCUUGGUAGCACGCAGUUUGGUGGAUCAGGUUUGGAUGAGCGACCGACUUCAGGUUCUUGGGCAACAGGAGAUCAGAACAACUCCACGUUUGACCAAGUCA